GUGGUGAUAUGUAGAAGUGGAGAUAUGUAGAAGUGGUGAUAUGUAGAAGUGGAGAUAUGUAGAAGUGGAGAUAUGUAGAAGUGGAGAUAUGUAGAUAUUGAGAUAUGUAGAAGUGGAGAUAUGUAGAAGUGGAGAUAUGUAUAAAUGGAGAUAUGUAGAAGUGGAGAUAUGUAGAAGUGGGGAUAUGUAGAGUGGAGAUAUGUAGAAGUGGCGAUAUGUAGAGUGGAGAUAUGUAGAGUGGAGAUAUGUAGAAGUGGAGAUAUGUAGAAGUGGAGAUAUGUAGAAAUGGAGAUAUGUAGAAGUGGAGAUAUGUAGAAGUGGAGAUAUGUAGAAGUGGAGAUAUGUAGAAGUGGAGAUAUGUAGAAGGGGAGAUAUGUAGAAGUGGAGAUAUGGAGAUAUGUAGAAAUGUAGAUAUGUAGAAAUGUAGAUAUGUAGAAGUGGAGAUAUGUAGAAGUGGAGAUAUGUAGAAGUGGAGAUAUGUAGAAUGGAGAUAUGUAGAAGUGGAGAUAUGUAGAAGUGGAGAUAUGUAGAGUGGAGAUAUGUAGAAAUGGAGAUAUGUAGAGUGGAGAUAUGUAGAAGUGGAGAUAUGUAGAGUGGAGAUAUGUAGAAAUGGAGAUAUGUAGAAGUGGAGAUAUGUAGAAAUGGAGAUAUGUAGAAGUGGAGAUAUGUAGAAAUGGAGAUAUGUAGAAGUGGAGAUAUGUAGAAGUGGAGAUAUGUAGAAGUGGAGAUAUGUAGAGUGGAGAUAUGUAGAAGUGGAGAUAUGUAGAAGUGGAGAUAUGUAGAAGUGGAGAUAUGUAGAAGUGGAGAUAUGUAGAAGUGGAGAUAUGUAGAAGUGGA
rnacentral:lncRNA from 1 species